AGGAUGAACGCUGGCGGCGUGCCUAACACAUGCAAGUCGAACGUCCUGUCUCGCAAGAGGCAGGGAGUGGCGGACGGGUGAGUACCACGUGGGUCAUCUACCGUGAGGUGAGGAAUACCGGCGAGAAAUCGCCGACAAGACCGCAUAGGCUCGAUGCAAGUCGAGCAAAGCUCUUUCGAGAGAGGGAGCGCCACACGAGGAGCCUGCGCCCGAUUAGCUAGCUGGUGGAGUAACGGUUCACCAGGGCGACGAUCGGUAGCUGGUCUGAGAGGACGAUCAGCCACACUGGGAUUGAGAACGGCCCAGACUCCGUACGGGGGCAGCAGUGAGGAAUUUCGUCAAUGGGGCAACCCUGAACGAGCAACGCCGCGUGCAGGAAGAGGUUUCGGAUCGUAAACUGCUUUCGUCGGGAAGAGAAUGGACGGUACCCGAGGAAUCAGCCCGGCUAACUACGUGCCAGCAGCCGCGGU
rnacentral:rRNA from 1 species